rnacentral:rRNA from 1 species
CCCUACGGGGUGCAGCAGGCGGAAUGAUAAGUCAGUGGUGAAAUCUCUCGGCUCAACUGAGAAACUGCCAUUGAUACUGUUGUUCUUGAGUACACUUGAAGUGGGCGGAAUGUGUCAUGUAGCGGUGAAAUGCUUAGAUAUGACACAGAACACCGAUCGCGAAGGCAGCUCACUAAAUUGUAACUGACGCUCAGGCACGAAAGCGUGGGGAUCAAACA